GAGAGGUGCUGCAUGGCUGUCGUCAGCUCGUGUUGUGAAAUGUUGGGUUAAGUCUCGCAACGAGCGCAACCCCUAUCGUCUGUUGCCAGCAUUAAGUUGGGCACUCUGACGAGACUGCCUGGGCUAACCAGGAGGAAGGUGGGGAUGACGUCAAGUCCUCAUGGCCCUUAUGUCUAGGGCUACACACGUAAUACAAUGGCGCGUACAAAGGGAAGCGAACUCGCAAGGGGGAGCAAAUCUCAAAAAGCGCGUCUCAGUCUGGAUUGGAGUCUGCAACUCGACUCCAUGAAGUUGGAAUCGCUAGUG
rnacentral:rRNA from 1 species